rnacentral:sRNA from 1 species
UCUGGGUCAACAAUGAUGCGAACUCUGGUGGACACCGGAGCUGAACUUGUGAUGGUUAUGUCUAUCGUCUUGCUCGACUGGCCAAUAUAUGUCGAUGGCCUGUCAGUACUAGCACCUCCAUCAGUUAGCUCAGUUGGCUUCUUUGGAUCUGAUAAUAGUAUGCUUUGAGAGUUCAGAACUCUAGUAACAUCUGUCAUUGUGGGCCGUUCUGUUGGAUCUUCUUGAGCACAAAGAAGCGCCACCUGAGUGCAUCGCAUUAUCACAGGGCUUUCAUAUUCAUCACACAAUGCUGGGUCUACAAGCUCAUGCAACCUUCCAUCUCUCCACAUAUGCCAUGCCUGAAAUAUGUU